rnacentral:rRNA from 1 species
UUCGGGCGGGGAUUAGUGGCGAACGGGUGAGUAAACGUGGGCAAUCUGCCCUGCACUCUGGGACAAGCCCUGGAAACGGGGUCUAAUACCGGAUAUGACUGUCCAUCGCAUGGUGGAUGGUGUAAAGCUCCGGCGGUGCAGGAUGAGCCCGCGGCCUAUCAGCUUGUUGGUGAGGUAGUGGCUCACCAAGGCGACGACGGGUAGCCGGCCUGAGAGGGCGACCGGCCACACUGGGACUGAGACACGGCCCAGACUCCUACGGGAGGCAGCAGUGGGGAAUAUUGCACAAUGGGCGAAAGCCUGAUGCAGCGACGCCGCGUGAGGGAUGACGGCCUUCGGGUUGUAAACCUCUUUCAGCAGGGAAGAAGCGAAAGUGACGGUACCUGCAGAAGAAGCGCCGGCUAACUACGUGCCAGCAGCCGCGGUAAUACGUAGGGCGCAAGCGUUGUCCGGAAUUAUUGGGCGUAAAG